rnacentral:misc_RNA from 1 species
GCAUGGAACCAAACAUUGUUAAAGUAUACCUUAAUUUGCUUACAAAAUUGGCUUUUUUGCCGCUAUUUAAUAAAUUAACAUGAAAAGAUAGAAAACUGUACAGUCGCAUCAAUAGACAUGCUUGGUAUUUCGGACAUGAAACUCUAAUCACUAGAAAAGCUACAUUCUGAAAAUUUUUGUGGCACUUGCAGCAGGUUGCCGCCCUAGUUCCUCCCACUUAACAAAGGUUUAACAGAAUUGAUGAGUUAUGUGAAAAGCAUAAAAUCACAAUAUAUCAGAGCAACGAAUACAGGUUUGAUCAAAAAGCUGGGCCACAAGGCUUCCUGCCUCUGGGAUGAGAGCAGAUGUCGAGCUGCUCCAAAAAUGGAAUGUUAAGGACUCCCUCAGAAUUUUAUUGAGAAAAGCCUCUUGUCUACCUUUUUCAGUCUCCAUUGUUGGUCUGGCAAAGUAACUUUCCAUAUCUUGUGAACCGAUAGGGAAGAAAAUGUAAGAGGGUUGCACUGACAAUUCCAACUGUGUUAUAAAGUUGUCUUCUUUUUUCAAAAAUCUUCUUGCAACUCUUGUCAAGAGGUCAGCCCCAUUCCAUCUCAAUUGGGUAUCAUCAUAUGUCGCAUAAAACUCUUUCAAGCAUUCCAUUAUGAACAGACUGUUCUUUCUAAAUGCCAUCACAGCCCCGUUCAAAGAACUUCCAGCGAGCUGAUCUUCCAGACCAACAGUAUUAUUAAGUGCAGGAAAUGGAUUUAGAACUAUAAUAUCUGAAUCUAGGUAGAUACCACCAUAUUUGUAGAGAGCAGCAAGCCGGAUAAGCUCACUGUAGUGCGUGGGAUAGAACUUUGUCCCUUUCCACUCAUACCAAACACCAGCAAAUACAUGGGUUGGUGUAUCCUUUAGCAAUUCAUCAAGAUUUGGCAUGGCAACAGCAACUUUGUAACCAUCUUUCACAAAGCUGUCAACAAAAAAAUCCAGCUCAAUUGUCUCCGAUAGCACUACAACACAAGCCUCUGGUGCAACAGCAGACUCUCAAGCCCCCUCUGGUGCCUAACAGUAUACAUCCAAGACGGGGAAUUCCACACCAUGAACACCCUGAUGUCACACUUCUCCUUCCCGAAAAAAGAAUCCAUGAAAUCUGAGAAAGACAAAUGAGGAUGCAAACCAGGAAAAUAACCCCAUCUUUUCCCGUCUGCAAGUGCAUAACUCAACUCCUCAGACUUCCUCCGCAACUUAGACUCUCUAUUCUCCAUUUGCCUUAGUUCUCCAUCAAUACUAUUCUCAUUUGUAUUUGAAUUCCCAUUUCCAUUGGGAUCUUUUAUAUUCUCAGUAGAUGAUCCCUUACUUGAACUGGACCCUUGAAUCACAUUACUUUCAUCUUCAUUCAAUACAUUCCCAUUCCCACCAGAAAUCAGAUUUUCAAUAACAUUUUUUAAUCUCUCACUAUGUGAUCCAGUACUCUCAUUCUCAUGAAAAAUCCUCCUUUCUGCUAUUUUAAUCCCACCCCCAUUUUUGAAAUCACUCUCUCUCUCUGUUCCUCUGCC